UACGGAAGGCAGCAGUGGGGAAUAUUGCACAAUGGGCGAAAGCCUGAUGCAGCUAUGCCGCGUGUAUGAAGAAGGCCUUAGGGUUGUAAAGUACUUUCAUCGGGGAGGAAAAACAAAACUAAUAAUUUUAUUUCUUGACGUUACCCGAAAAAGAAGCACCGGCUAACUCCGUGCCAGCAGCCGCGGUAAUACGGAGGGUGCUAGCGUUAAUCAGAAUUACUGGGCGUAAAGAGCACGUAGGUGGUUUUUUUAAGUCAGAUGUGAAUCCCUGGGCUUAACCUAGGAACUGCAUUUUGAAACUGAAAUACUAGAGUAUCGUAGAGGGAGGUAGAAUUCUAGGUGUAGCGGUGAAAUGCGUAGAUAUCUGGAGGAAUACCUGUGGCGAAAGCGGCCUCCUAAACGAAUACUGACACUGAGGUGCGAAAGCGUGGGGAGCGAAACAGGGAUUAGAUACC
rnacentral:rRNA from 1 species